rnacentral:rRNA from 1 species
GACGAACGCUGGCGGCGUGCCUAAUACAUGCAAGUCGUGCGGGUGAAGCCGACCACCCCUUCGGGGGCGGAUGGUGGAACCAGCGGCGGACGGGUGAGUAACACGUGGGCAACCUGCCUGCAAGACCGGGAUAACUGCGGGAAACCGGAGCUAAUACCGGAUAAGAGGCUUUUCCGCAUGGGGGAGCCUUAAAAGGCGGCGGAAGUCGUCACUUGCAGAUGGGCCCGCGGCGCAUUAGCUAGUUGGUGAGGGAAGGGCUCACCAAGGCGACGAUGCGUAGCCGACCUGAGAGGGUGACCGGCCACACUGGGACUGAGACACGGCCCAGACUCCUACGGGAGGCAGCAGUAGGGAAUUUUCGGCAAUGGGGGGAACCCUGACCGAGCAACGCCGCGUGAGCGAGGACGGCCUUCGGGUUGUAAAGCUCUGUCAUGUGGGAAGAACGGCUAGGAGAGGGCAUGCUCUUAGCGUGACGGUACCACAGGAGGAAGCCCCGGCUAACUAC